GUGGAGUUCGUUAAAAUACAAGGCAUGCAAAUGACAAAAAUGAUGCAAAAUUUGCUCAUAAAAUUAAAAAUAACCGACUUCCUGUUGGGUUUCGGAUAUUGCUCCAAGAGUCUUUUUUUGUAGGUACUGAUGCUUUACAUAUGUGUGCCAAUUUUCGUGCAUGUACGUGAAACACAGCUGGAGGGCUGUUGAUUUUUUUACGAUAGGUGGCGCUGUCGAGCCAUUUUGCCACACCCUCUUCUGAAACCUAUAUCAGACGUAAAUUUUCACCAGGUCUGACGCGUGUGCAAAGUUUCAGGACUUUUCGAGCAUGUUUAGGCCCUCAAAAAUGCGAUUCAUUUU
ensembl:lncRNA